ACAGCAGCCGCCGCGGUAAAACAGAGGGUGCGAGCGUUAAUCGGAUUUACUGGGCGUAAAGCGUGCGUAGGCGGCUUUUUAAGUCGGAUGUGAAAUCCCUGAGCUUAACUUAGGAAUUGCAUUCGAUACUGGGAAGCUAGAGUAUGGGAGAGGAUGGUAGAAUUCCAGGUGUAGCGGUGAAAUGCGUAGAGAUCUGGAGGAAUACCGAUGGCGAAGGCAGCCAUCUGGCCUAAUACUGACGCUGAGGUACGAAAGCAUGGGGAGCAAACAGGAUUAGAUACCCCUGUAGUCCCUGUCUCUUAUAC
rnacentral:rRNA from 1 species